rnacentral:rRNA from 1 species
GACGAACGCUGGCGGCGUGCUUAACACAUGCAAGUCGAACGGAAAGGCCCUGCUUUUGUGGGGUGCUCGAGUGGCGAACGGGUGAGUAACACGUGAGUAACCUGCCCUUGACUUUGGGAUAACUUCAGGAAACUGGGGCUAAUACCGUAUAGGAGCUCCUGCUGCAUUGUGGGGGUUGGAAAGUUUCGGCGGUUGGGGAUGGACUCGCGGCUUAUCAGCUUGUUGGUGGGGUGGUGGCUUACCAAGGCUUUGACGGGUAGCCGGCCUGAGAGGGUGACCGGCGACAUUGGGACUGAGAUACGGCCCAGACUCCUACGGGAGGCAGCAGUGGGGAAUAUUGCACAAUGGGAGGAAGCCUGAUGCAGCAACGCCGCGUGCGGGAUGACGGCCUUCGGGUUGUAAACAGCUUUCGCCUGUGACGAAGCGUGAGUGACGGUAAUGGGUAAAGAAGCACCGGCUAACUACGUG